AUUGAACGCUGGCGGAAUGCUUUACACAUGCAAGUCGAACGGCAGCACGGACUUCGGUCUGGUGGCGAGUGGCGAACGGGUGAGUAAUGUAUCGGAACGUGCCCAGUCGUGGGGGAUAACGUAGUGAAAAUUACGCUAAUACCGCAUACGAUCAAUGGAUGAAAGCGGGGGAUCGCAAGACCUCGCGCGAUUGGAGCGGCCGAUAUCAGAUUAGGUAGUUGGUGGGGUAAAGGCCCACCAAGCCAACGAUCUGUAGCUGGUCUGAGAGGACGAACAGGCACAAUGGAACUGAGACACGGUCCAGGCUCCUACGGGAGGCAGCAGUGGGGAAUUUUUGGCAAUGGGCGAAAGCCUGAUCCAGCCAUUCCGCGUGCAGGAUGAAGGCCCUCGGGUUGUAAACUGCUUUUGUACAGAACGAAAAGGUUUCUACUAAUACUAGGAGCUCAUGACGGUACUGUAAGAAUAAGCACCGGCUAACUACGUGCCAGCAGCCGCAGUAA
rnacentral:rRNA from 1 species